AAAAGAGAGAUUCAAAGAGGGAGAGAAAGAAAGAGUUGAAAGAAAACAAUAUCUUGCUACCUUAGAAGAAGAGCUUAAAAUUCUUAAUGAAAAAAGUGAAAAGUCAAAGAGGAUUUAAGGAAGAUUGUGAAAAGGAAGAAAGAGAAAAGAAAGAAUGAGAAGCAUGAGAAAAGAGAGAAAGAGCAUCAAGUAAGAAGAGAGAAAUGGGAGUGGGAAAGAAGAAGAGAAUGUGAAGAGAAAAAAGAUAAAAGAAAGGAAUGAGAAAGAAAAGAGAGAAAAAGAGCAAGAGAAGAGCAAAAAUUACUAAAGCCCCCUACCACUCCCAUAAUUAAGGUUAAGAUUAAGAUGAUGAAGGAAGUUUUCCAAUCCUUGAACUAUUCUUAAGACAUCCAACCAUUUUUCAUAACUCCAACUUUUACUUUUGAAAAAAUUUUAACUUUUUAUUCACCUCCUACUACUUUUAGCUCCCCAAAUUUUUCCAAAUCAAACUUUGAGUUAAUGUAACCUUCUAGGAUACAAUUAAUUCAAAGUAAACACAAACAAUUUUAUGGAGUAGACCUUUAAGGUUUUCAAGUAAAUUCUUUU
rnacentral:lncRNA from 1 species